rnacentral:lncRNA from 7 species
UAGUGAUGGUCUAUGAAGAAACUUGGUGGGAUCUCUUUGCCCAUUGCAGCUGAAACCCAAAGGAGGUUUGAAAUAAAGCCUAGGAACUUGGCUGAAAUAAUUUCUUUCUGGCUCUUGCAUUAUUCAGAAAGGUGCUUCUGCUAUCUGAAGAGUAAUUGAGGCAAUCAGGUGCUGUCUUCCAGAGCAACUGCUGGUGGAAACCAUGAGGAUGAGAAAAUUCCCAGAAGAGCUGAGGCUGUCCCUCAUCAACGCAGAGAUGAGAACAAUGCAGACGGUGCCUGCAGGAUGCUCCUUGCCCUCUAGAGACCCUCAUGAGAAGCUCAGGCCCCCAGGGGAGUUGGCGAGAAGGUGGCAAUCUGCAAUACCUCACACCUGCACCACAGGAGACCUACCUUCAAUUUUUAAGGAACUAUGAUCCACCUCAGAGGAUCUUGUAUGUUAACAUGUUGCCUACAGAUCGUGAGUGGGGCUGAAAGGUUCUGUAUGGGGGAUCAAUACAGUCAGUCUGUUGGAAAGCUUUUGGCCUUUGUGAUACUGCUGUUGACUCGUAUGGGAAAGACUCUCUUCAUCUCCAAGAGUAUCACCUCACAUGGUUAAACCUCAUGGCUGUAGCAGAGAACAUGACUAAUUAUUGAAUUGGAGACUGAUUGAUGCACGAAAGACUCUGCAGUAGUGGGGACCUGGAUGGUGGUUCAGGCAGUCUUCCCUUUUUUGUUUC